rnacentral:tRNA from 1 species
GCCUCCGUAGCUCAGCUUGGAUUAGAGCAGCUCCCUUCUAAGGAGAAGGUCGAGGGUUCAAAUCCCUCCGGGGGCA